UAAGUCAGCUGGGAAACCCUAUCGUCCCAUUGAUCAUCUCUAGACAACUGUGUGUACUUUAUUAAUUUUAUUUUUCUGAUAUUUUCUCCGAAAUUCACAUAAACAAGGGUGCUAUUACAGUUAAAGUUGAAUUUAGAGCCUAUUGUGCUUAAUUCCUAUUCAUUUUAUUUUGCCCACAAAGGCACAGCAAACAAUGGGUGGACAUCACGGAGAACCCUUCAAGGUGCCACAUCCAUCGAUCUACAAGGUGGAAAACGUGCCACAGCUGGUGGAAGUGAAAGAAGCUCUGGGUCGCCAGGGAUUGAGUGAUCCAUGGCUGAGCUAAUUGCAUUCAAUUGCGAUGUAUUUUCUGUCCUAUUUGAUAUUAAUUGCUUGGAUUCUUUUAGGAAUGAAGCCUGGCGCUACGAGAAGAAGGCCUUCGGCACCCACAGAUCUCGUCUGAACGCCUUUCUCUUCCGCGGUCUCGGCGUUGGCUUUUGCGCCUUUCUUGCGACCAUCGCCGUCGAGUACGGUUUGGGCAUUGGCAAGGGCCAGGGCGGCCAUGGGCACGGUCACGACGAAAAUUAAAUAAACCUGUGUUACGCUCUGAAUUAAUUUUAUUCGCAAGUUAUACUGUCGAUACCAACCAGCAUGCCUAUACUAAAGGGAAAUCGGUGGAGACCGCACUACAUUCGGUAGU